rnacentral:tRNA from 1 species
GCCUUAAUAGUUUAACUUUUAAAACUUUGGUCUUGUAAAUCAAAAAUGAAAAUUUCUUUCUUAAGGCU